rnacentral:lncRNA from 1 species
CCCGACAUGUUACACGCAAAACUGGAACGAGAACACUGACACGUGUGACUUCAGAGGGGUACGAUGUGCCUCAUAUCCAAACUCAGAAGAGCGAGCAGUUGCAGGACUGGACUUAAAUGGAGCAAGAGUGACGGGUCAAAACGGGUGCCCUUUGCCCGUCUCAUCUCUCUUGGGCGUGAACCAAAUACCCGAGUUAACAUUCUUCCACGUCAACUCUAACAGCUUCGCCGGCUCGGUCCCCACGGAUAUCACCAAAUUCCCCUUCUUCUUCGAGCUCGAUCUCAGUAACAACAAAAUCAAAGGCCAGUUUCCCAUCGACGCGAUUACGUCAAAAGUGCUAGUCUUCCUUGACCUCCGCUUCAAUCAACUCACCGGCCCAAUUCCCCCCCAACUCUUCCUGAAGGAUCUCGACGUCAUCUUCAUCAACAACAACCAAUUCACACAGUGUCUCCCCCAGAAUUUCGGCUACACACCGGCCCGCUACCUCACUUUCGCCAACAACAACCUCACCGGCCCCAUUCCAAAGAGCGUCGGUUACGCACCCAACCUUACCGAAGUUCUCUUCCUCGGGAACAAGUUUGACGGCUGCUUGCCCGUUGAAAUUGGAAAC